rnacentral:rRNA from 1 species
UACAGAGGGGGCAAGCGUUAUUCGGAAUUAUUGGGCGUAAAGGGCGCGUAGGCGGCUUUGCGUGUCUUUCGUGAAAUCCCUCGGCUCAACUGAGGACGUGCGGAAGAAACUGCAGGGCUGGAGUCCGGGAGAGGAGGGUGGAAUUCCCAGUGUAGCGGUGAAAUGCGUAGAUAUUGGGAGGAACACCGGUGGCGAAGGCGGCCCUCUGGACCGGUACUGACGCUGAUGCGCGAAAGCGUGGGGAGCAAACGGG